UUUGAUUUCAGAGGCUUUUUUUUCUUCUAGUUGCUCUGUGUGGUUUGCGAUUUUGUUUGUUGUUUACGACGGGGCUUUCUGGAGGAACAUUGUCACUAGGAGACCGACAUCUUGACUAUAGUACUUGGUUCUAAAUCAAUGAAAUUUUUCACUGUGACUGCUGGGAAAAUGGAUUUUGUUGAUUCUCUCUGUUAUGGACCAAACUAUAUCCUUCCAAAUUGAAAGAUGAAGCCCCAAAUCUCUAAAUAAGACUGUAUAUGGAUCCUGGGCCUAUGAGAUAAUGAAGGAAGACUGCUGUGAGGACACAGCAGAAAGGGAAGACAGAUGUCUGCUACAAAAGGAGAAAAUCCUCCCCAGAAAAUAACCCUGAUGAUACCUGAUCUUGGACUUCCAGUCUCCAGAACUGUGAGAAAAUAAAUACAGUAUGUUG